CGGGGUGCAGCAGGCGCGAAACCUUUGCAAUGUGCGCAAGCACGACAAGGUUAAUCCGAGUGUUUCCUGCUAAAGGAAUCUUUUGUUAGUCGUAAAACCACUGAUGAAUAAGGGGUGGGCAAGUCUGGUGUCAGCCGCCGCGGUAAAACCAGCACCUCAAGUGGUCAGGAGGAUUAUUGGGCCUAAAGCAUCCGUAGCCGGUUCUGCCAGUUUUCGGUUAAAUCCACUUGCUUAACAAAUGGGCUGCCGAAAAUACUACAGAGCUAGGGAGUGGGAGAGGUAGACGGUAUUCGGUAGGAAGGGGUAAAAUCCUUUGAUCUAUUGAGGACCACCUAUGGCGAAGGCAGUCUACCAGAACACGUUCGACGGUGAGGGAUGAAAGCUGGGGGAGCAAACCGGAUUAGAUACCCGGGUAGUCCCAGCUGUAAACGAUGCAGACUCGGUGAUGCACUGGCUUGUGGCCAGUGCAGUGCCGCAGGGAAGCCGUUAAGUUUGCCGCCUGGGAAGUACGUACGCAAGUAUGAAACUUAAAGGAAUUGGCGGGGGAGCAC
rnacentral:rRNA from 1 species